UCCUGGCAAGUGCAUGUCCCGUAUGCAU
rnacentral:sRNA from 1 species